AGAUUGAACGCUGGCGGCAUGCUUUACACAUGCAAGUCGAACGGUAACAGGCCGCAAGGUGCUGACGAGUGGCGAACGGGUGAGUAAUGUAUCGGAACGUGCCCAGUCGUGGGGGAUAACGCAGCGAAAGCUGUGCUAAUACCGCAUACGAUCUAUGGAUGAAAGCGGGGGAUCGCAAGACCUCGCGCGAUUGGAGCGGCCGAUAUCAGAUUAGCUAGUUGGUGGGGUAAAAGCCUACCAAGGCGACGAUCUGUAGCUGGUCUGAGAGGACGACCAGCCACACUGGAACUGACGACACGGUCCAGACU
rnacentral:rRNA from 1 species